UACGGAGGGGGCGAGCGUUAUUCGGAAUUAUUGGGCGUAAAGGGCGCGUAGGCGGCUGUACAAGUCAAAGGUGAAAUCCCUCGGCUCAACUGAGGAACUGCCUUUGAAACUGUACGGCUUGAGGCCGGGAGGGGGUAGCGGAAUUCCCAAUGUAGCGGUGAAAUGCGUAGAUAUUGGGAGGAACACCAGUGGCGAAGGCGGCUACCUGGACAGGUUCUGACGCUGAGGCGCGAAAGCGUGGGUAGCAAACAGG
rnacentral:rRNA from 1 species